rnacentral:rRNA from 1 species
CCUACGGGAGACAGCAGUGAGGAAUAUUGGUCAAUGGACGAGAGUCUGAACCAGCCAAGUAGCGUGAAGGAUGACUGCCCAAUGGGUUGUAAACUUCUUUUAUAAGGGAAUAAAACAGGGUAUGCAUACCCUCUUGUAUGUACCAUAUGAAUAAGGAUCGGCUAACUCCGUGCCAGCAGCCGCGGUAAUACGGAGGAUCCGAGCGUUAUCCGGAUUUAUUGGGUUUACGGGGAGCGUAGGUGGGUUGUUAAGUCAGUUGUGAAAGCUUGCGGCUCAACCGUCAACUUGCAGUUGAAACUGGCGGUCUUGUGUACAGAGAGGUGGGCGGACUCCGUGGUGUAGCGGUGAAAUGCUUAGAUCUCACGCAGAACUCCGAUUGCGAAGGCAGCUCACUGGACUGCAACUGACGCUGAUGCUCGAAAGUGUGGGUAUCAAACAGGAUUAGAUACCCGUGUAGUC